rnacentral:rRNA from 1 species
AGAGUUUGAUCCUGGCUCAGGAUGAACGCCGGCGGUGUGCCUAAUACAUGCAAGUCGUACGCACUGGCCCAACUGAUUGAUGGUGCUUGCACCUGAUUGACGAUGGAUCACCAGUGAGUGGCGGACGGGUGAGUAACACGUAGGAAACCUGCCUCGGAGCGGGGGAUAACAUUUGGAAACAGAUGCUAAUACCGCAUAACAACAAAAGCCACAUGGCUUUUGUUUGAAAGAUGGCUUUGGCUAUCACUCUGGGAUGGACCUGCGGUGCAUUAGCUAGUUGGUAAGGUAACGGCUUACCAAGGCAAUGAUGCAUAGCCGAGUUGAGAGACUGAUCGGCCACAAUGGAACUGAGACACGGUCCAUACUCCUACGGGAGGCAGCAGUAGGGAAUCUUCCACAAUGGGCGCAAGCCUGAUGGAGCAACACCGCGUGAGUGAAGAAGGGUUUCGGCUCGUAAAGCUCUGUUGUUGGAGAAGAACGUGCGUGAGAGUAACUGUUCACGCAGUGACGGUAUCCAACCAGAAAGUCACGGCUAACUACGUGCCAGCAGCCGCGGUAAUACGUAGGUGGCAAGCGUUAUCCGGAUUUAUUGGGCGUAAAGCGAGCGCAGGCGGUUGCUUAGGUCUGAUGUGAAAGCCUUCGGCUUAACCGAAGAAGUGCAUCGGAAACCGGGCGACUUGAGUGCAGAAGAGGACAGUGGAACUCCAUGUGUAGCGGUGGAAUGCGUAGAUAUAUGGAAGAACACCAGUGGCGAAGGCGGCUGUCUGGUCUGCAACUGACGCUGAGGCUCGAAAGCAUGGGUAGCGAACAGGAUUAGAUACCCUGGUAGUCCAUGCCGUAAACGAUGAGUGCUAGGUGUUGGAGGGUUUCCGCCCUUCAGUGCCGGAGCUAACGCAUUAAGCACUCCGCCUGGGGAGUACGACCGCAAGGUUGAAACUCAAAGGAAUUGACGGGGGCCCGCACAAGCGGUGGAGCAUGUGGUUUAAUUCGAAGCUACGCGAAGAACCUUACCAGGUCUUGACAUCUUGCGCUAACCUUAGAGAUAAGGCGUUCCCUUCGGGGACGCAAUGACAGGUGGUGCAUGGUCGUCGUCAGCUCGUGUCGUGAGAUGUUGGGUUAAGUCCCGCAACGAGCGCAACCCUUGUUACUAGUUGCCAGCAUUAAGUUGGGCACUCUAGUGAGACUGCCGGUGACAAACCGGAGGAAGGUGGGGACGACGUCAGAUCAUCAUGCCCCUUAUGACCUGGGCUACACACGUGCUACAAUGGACGGUACAACGAGUCGCAAGCUCGCGAGAGUAAGCUAAUCUCUUAAAGCCGUUCUCAGUUCGGACUGUAGGCUGCAACUCGCCUACACGAAGUCGGAAUCGCUAGUAAUCGCGGAUCAGCAUGCCGCGGUGAAAAGGUUCCCGGGCCUUGUACUCACCGCCCGUCA